UACAGGAUGGCGGCCAUCCAGGAAU
rnacentral:piRNA from 1 species